rnacentral:rRNA from 1 species
GACGAACGCUGGCGGCGUGCCUAAUACAUGCAAGUAGAACGCUGAAGGAGGAGCUUGCUCUUCUGGAUGAGUUGCGAACGGGUGAGUAACGCGUAGGUAACCUGCCUGGUAGCGGGGGAUAACUAUUGGAAACGAUAGCUAAUACCGCAUAACAGUAGAUGUUGCAUGACAUUUGCUUAAAAGGUGCAAUUGCAUCACUACCAGAUGGACCUGCGUUGUAAUAGCUAGUUGGUGGGGUAACGGCUCACCAAGGCGACGAUACAUAGCCGACCUGAGAGGGUGAUCGGCCACACUGGGACUGAGACACGGCCCAGACUCCUACGGGAGGCAGCAGUAGGGAAUCUUCGGCAAUGGACGGAAGUCUGACCGAGCAACGCCGCGUGAGUGAAGAAGGUUUUCGGAUCGUAAAGCUCUGUUGUAAGAGAAGAACGAGUGUGAGAGUGGAAAGUUCACACUGUGACGGUAUCGUACCAGAAAGGGACGGCGAACUACGU